AACGCACAUUGCGCCCUCUGGUAUUCCGGGGGGCAUGCCUGUUCGAGCGUCAUUACAACCCUCAAGCUCUGCUUGGUAUUGGGUGCCACCGCUUUGGUGCACCCUAAAAUCAGUGGCGGUGUCACUUGGCUCCUAGCGUAGUAAUACUUCUCGUUAUAGAGCUUAGGUGUAUGCUUGCCAUAACCCCAACUUCAAAGGUUGACCUCGGAUCAGGUAGGGAUACCCGCUGAACUUAA
rnacentral:misc_RNA from 1 species